AGAAGGCGCUUGCUACAGGAGAAAGGGACUUGGAGUAGCAUGCUCGCUGGCCAAUCGGGAGGAGAAAAGCGAGUCUCCGUGAGUGGAGUUUGGCGCGUGGAAGACUUGAAGGCGUUACUAAACAAGUUACAAUGUGAACUUGUGAGCUUCCCUUCAGGGAGAUGUAGUUACAAUUCCAGCACACUGGCCCACUCUCUCUUGGUGGUAUGAGACUUUCUACAACUGAAUGCCCAGAACUUCCCAUCACUGACCCAGGAGCCAUUAUCAAGAGGAUUCCGAGGAAAGGUGCCAUUCCUCUGGGGCCGCUGACCUCUGACAGACUGACAAGCUUCCAGGGCUCCUGGUGUUCUGCAGCCUGAGAAGAUGCAG
rnacentral:sRNA from 1 species